rnacentral:rRNA from 1 species
GACGAACGCUGGCGGCGUGCUUAACACAUGCAAGUCGAGCGAUGAAGUUCCUUCGGGAAUGGAUUAGCGGCGGACGGGUGAGUAACACGUGGGUAACCUGCCUCAUAGAGGGGAAUAGCCUUCCGAAAGGAAGAUUAAUACCGCAUAAGAUUGUAGUACCGCAUGGUAUAGCAAUUAAAGGAGUAAUCCGCUAUGAGAUGGACCCGCGUCGCAUUAGCUAGUUGGUGAGGUAACGGCUCACCAAGGCGACGAUGCGUAGCCGACCUGAGAGGGUGAUCGGCCACAUUGGGACUGAGACACGGCCCAGACUCCUACGGGAGGCAGCAGUGGGGAAUAUUGCACAAUGGGGGAAACCCUGAUGCAGCAACGCCGCGUGAGUGAUGACGGUCUUCGGAUUGUAAAGCUCUGUCUUCAGGGACGAUAAUGACGGUACCUGAGGAGGAAGCCACGGCUAACUACGUGCCAGCAGCCGCCGCGGUAA